UACGAAGGGGGCUAGCGUUGCUCGGAAUUACUGGGCGUAAAGGGCGCGUAGGCGGGUGUUUAAGUCAGAGGUCAAAUCCCAGAGCUCAACUCUGGAACUGCCUUUGAUACUGGACACCUAGAGUACGGGAGAGGUGUGUGGAACUCCGAGUGUAGAGGUGAAAUUCGUAGAUAUUCGGAAGAACACCAGUGGCGAAGGCGACACACUGGACAUGUAUUGACGCUGAGGUGCGAAAGCGUGGGGAGCAAACAGG
rnacentral:rRNA from 1 species